GCCCCCGUAGCUCAGUGGAUAGAGCGGUCGCCUCCUAAGCGACAGGCCGUCGGUUCAACUCCGGCCGGGGGCGCCA
rnacentral:tRNA from 1 species